rnacentral:rRNA from 1 species
AGAGUUUGAUCCUGGCUCAGGAACAACGCUGGCGGCGUGCCUAAUGCAUGCAAGUCGAAUGGGACCCACUUAGGUGGACGACCAUGGCGGACGGGUGAGUAACACGUGGAGAACCUGCCCACUGGCGGGGGAUAACCCUGGGAAACCGGGGCUAAUACCGCAUGAGCUUGGUAUACGGAGGUAUAUCAAGGAAAGGCCUUCUUUUUGAAGGUCACCGGUGGAGGGCUCUGCGACCUAUCAGUUAGAUGGUGGGGUAACGGCCUACCAUGGCGAUGACGGGUAGCUGGUCCGAGAGGACGAUCAGCCACACGGGGACUGAGACACGGCCCCGACUCCUACGGGAGGCAGCAGCAAGGAAUAUUCCACAAUGGGGGAAACCCUGAUGGAGCGACGCCGCGUGGAGGAAGACGCCUUUCGGGGUGUAAACUCCUUUUCUCAGUGACGAAGCAAGUGACGGUAGCUGAGGAAUAAGCACCGGCUAACUACGUGCCAGCAGCCGCGGUAAGACGUAGGGUGCAAGCGUUGUCCGGAGUUACUGGGCGUAAAGGACGCGUAGGCGGCGCAUCGCGUCGCACGUGAAAGCCCCCGGCUCAACCGGGGAGGGUCGUGCGAAACGGAUGUGCUUGAGGCAGAGAGAGGCGAGUGGAAUUCUCGGUGUAGUGGUGAAAUGCGUAGAUAUCGGGAGGAACACCAGAGGCGAAGGCGGCUCGCUGGCUCUGACCUGACGCUGAGGCGUGAAGGCGUGGGGAGCGAACGGGAUUAGAUACCCCGGUAGUCCACGCAGUAACGAUGCAGACGAGGUGUUGGGGGGGAGUUGACCCCCCUCGUGCCGGCGCUACGCAGUAGUCUGCCGCCUGGGGAGUACGGCCGCAAGGCUAAAACUCAAAGGAAUUGACGGGGGCCCGCACAAGCAGCGGAGCGUGUGGUUUAAUUCGACGCAACGCGCAGAACCUUACCAGGGCUUGACAUCCCCGGAACCCCUGGGAAACCGGGGGUGCCCUUCGGGGAGCCGGGAGACAGGUGCUGCAUGGCUGUCGUCAGCUCGUGUCGUGAGAUGUUGGGUUAAGUCCCGCAACGAGCGCAACCCUCGUGGCUAGUUACGGUGGUGUUUAGCCAGACUGCCGGGCACAACCCGGAGGAAGGGGGGGAUGACGUCAAGUCCGCAUGGCCCUGACGCCCUGGGCGACACACACGCUACAAUGGCCGGGACAGCGGGCGGCCAAGCGGCAACGCGGAGCCAAUCCCUCAAACCCGGUCUCAGUUCGGAUUGGGGGCUGCAACUCGCCCCCAUGAAGGCGGAGUUGCUAGUAACCGCAGGUCAGCCAUACUGCGGUGAAUAUGUUCCCGGGCCUUGUACACACCGCCCGUCACGUCACGAAAGCCGGCAACACCUGAAGCCGGUGGGCCAACCCGAUACGGGAGGCAGCCGUCGAAGGUGGGGCUGGUGAUUGGGACGAAGUCGUAACAAGGUAGCCGUAGCGGAAGCUGGGGCUGG